CGGCGGAGAUAUACGGCCCCGAUGAAAACGGUUGCCGCCCCCGCCAGAGGACCCUUAACUCUGUUUCUUAUAGUGUAUCUUCCUGAGUAAAACAAGCAAAUAAAUUAAAACUUUCAACAACGGAUCUCUUGGCUCUGGCAUCGAUGAAGAACGCAGCGAAAUGCGAUAAGUAAUUGUGAAUUGCAGAAUUCAGUGAAUCAUCGAAUCUUUGAACGCACAUUGCGCCCGCCAGUAUUCUGGCGGGCAUGCCUGUUCGAGCGUCAUUACAAUCCCUCAGGCCCCCGGGGCCUGGCGUUGGGGAUC
rnacentral:misc_RNA from 1 species